GUGGGUUGCUACUUUGAUCCAUUGUGCUCUUGCUGUGUACACAGUUACAGUGAAACAGUGGCUGUAUGGCUAUUGAGUUUUAGAGCUCACAGGACUAUAAGUCAAUGGCCACAUGAACUGGCUAAGCCAGACUCCAAUGUAGCCAUCCCUGUGGUUCCCUGUUCCUAGGCACUGGCACAUGCCCUCAUGUUUGUACAUGCAAUAAGGGGGGGAAUACAUCCCUCAAGAACUAACUUGGGCAAAACAAAGGCAAAAUGUCUUUUUCAGCUGGGCAAAUUCCCCAUUCCUGUCCAUUGUUAUGCUGUGAAAAACAUCUUUCUGUGCCAAAAGGAAAUGGAGACAUGGAAUGGGAAAAAGCAGCUUCAUCAAGAAAGAGAUUCCAGCACAAAUGAAGGAAGUCUUUCUUCUUUGUCAGUCUCCAUAAUUGAAACUGAAGCUGCUACAAAUUACAUCUUUCCUCUGGUGGGAGACACUCAUGUGGGAACACAUCAGGUGUACAGUGUUGGUCUGAGCUGCAGAGCGCAAAAAAAGAGGAAAGAUGCAGACAUCCAUCUGUAUUCCUAUUUGAGAAAACAGUCUGAAAUGUAAAGAAGAUUCUUCAUCUUGUAAGCUCACCUUGUUCAUUUCUCCUUUCUUUUUCCUUCAUUCUGAUCCUACUGUUCAAAGGCUUUAUUUCAGAUACAAGGUGGCAGAAAAGGCAAGUGGCUAUUAAUUGUUGGGUUGGUUUUCCAUAUGACCACAGCUGGGUCUGUAGGUUGGUAGGGUGACUCUCCCAGGGUUUUAAGCAAUACUCUCCUGUGUUUAUUUCUGGGAUCCCUUUUUCAUUUGUCCACUUCAAAUAUCUGGUAAAUGGAAGAAAAAAGAAAAGAGGAAAUUAGCACUUCUCAGCAAAUGAAUUACUUGUGGUUUGUUGUUUUGAAAAUGAAAGCAUUUAUAUUCAGACUUAAAACACCACAUUCACUUCUUGAUCAAAUCUAAAUGGCCAUGUGAUUGCAUGCUGUCUCUUCCUUUGUGAACAUCUUGCCUAUUUAGACAAUAUGUAGAUGGUUUAUGUCAUAUUAGACUAUGGCAAACCUGAUAUUACUUCCUUUGUGUAGAGGAAUAAGAGAAUUUUUCACCUGCUAAGACUUCUAGGCAGUAAUUCUUGAGUAAGAUAAACAUCUUGUCUGCUUCUGUAGUUUGCAGUCCUUACCAGCUGCUCAAUUAAUUGAGCUCCUUAAGAGACAGAGAAACAUUUCCAUGAUACCGGUGAAAGGUGUCACCUCAUACACUUCUUUCUUCUACUGUAAUCUGUAAGAGGUCUUACAGCAUAGAACAUGUUGUAAUGGUCACUGCUACGUGAAAAAGCUAUUUUUUUCAAUUCUCUCUCCUUUCCUCUUUCUACUCUUCCUCCUUCCAUGAUCUGCACAGUUCUUGCUUGGCACUUGUCUUAAUCUUGGCCAUUUCAGUUCACUGAGAUCACAAAAAUCUGUUGCAGCUCUAGAAAGUGGAUAUUCUGAGCAUUUAGUGAGUCAGAUCAGCUUGGUUGUACUGCCAAGCCAUGCAAGGUAUGGAGCAGCAAGACACAGAAAGGAAUGUCGGAGGAGGCAGCCCACCCAUUUUAGCAGCACGUGGUUAGAUCAAGCCAGCUGCAGUGUGAAACCUUACCUGCAAGAGACACCAUGCUUGAAGUCUGCUGAAGUCUGGAAAAGGCACAACAAAACUGCCACUGGUCUCUUCAGUCUUCUAGUAAGUAACUGGCCUACUCAUCUGCUUUUGCUCAACAGCUGUUCUGAAUGAAUUAAAAUCAUCUCCUAUUUUCUUUCCUGGGGAUAAGUCCAGCUAAGAAAAAUUCUCAGCAGACAGAAGAUUGAUAAUAGAAUGUACAAACAGGAGCCAGCGAACCUCAGAAAGAAUAAAGAUGGGACUAACGUGUCUUCUUAUCCCUAG
rnacentral:lncRNA from 1 species